rnacentral:snoRNA from 1 species
UGAUGAACGAGCAAAGAAGGGAAUCUCUUGUCGAGCCGGCGAGCCUGCGUGUCCGCGGCGCUGACAUGAAGCACUUUGACCCACGACGAUCCAUUCCAUUUCAGCCGCUGA